GGCGUGAAUUAGUAGUAGAGACCCUGGCAGAGGAACUAGCGUGGAUGCCACGUCUAUGGUCAUGGCUAUGCUCUAGCAUGGUCCCUAGGCGCCUAGAGGUCCCGCAAGGGAAUUUUGUACCAUAUUUGGCUCUGUGAUUUGGUCGCAAGCCUGCUCCUGCGGCGUUCACUUCUUGUUUCGGGCGAUUGCGUUUCUUCUGUGAAAGCACGACUAAACGCUGGUUGUCGCUGGUUCCAACGGCUGUAGCCCUUUGCUGGCAUAUGGAAUGUCGUCUUCGAUACGCAAGAAAUUAAGGGCCUCCAAGCCAGUGGUAGUGCCUCCGAAAUCUUCCAAGACAAGCAAGAAGACAAAAUCACUCAGGUUGCCCACAACCAAGCCUGGCAGAAAGUCCACUGAGGAGGGACCUUCUAAAUCUGAAAAUGACAAACUUCCCUUGCAAAGGACGCUGACGAUGACUGGCAAGGCCCGCACAUGGUCUGCUGCUGAACUCCCCACCAGUGAUUCAGAGGCGUCAGACAUUCUUGACAACCCUCAUCACAGCGAGGGGACAAGCUCAGAGUCGCAGCCAUUGAUCGAAGGCACGGCAAAGAAGUCACCACAGCCAUCCACCAGUAAGCCAAGCACUCAAGCCAGCAGCAGUAGCAAGCGGCCAGCACAGCCUUCCAAAAAAAAUGUAAAGAAGGCCGGGGGUGGCAAAUUACUUCGGCAACCAAAAGUGGGAAAAAAGUCUCGGAAUAAUCCUGUGCAACGCAAGAACAGCUGCGGAAAAACCCCAUUAAGCAGUGCCAAGCUGAUGGAUGCUGCAGUCAGCUCGAAUACUGUUCCACUGGUGAAGAAAGCAGAUGUUAUGCAGAGUGAGCCUACAGACGUGAAUGUGAAAGCAUUUCCAGUCCUUCAGCCUGACAGGCCUGUGAGGCUUCCCUUGGUGAAAGAAGGCAGCCCUUACAAGUGUAGUGUCCGAGGAUGUCCCUCAAGCACUGGCCAGUGCUCCAUUGGUCUCUGGUUGUUUGCGCUGCCUAGCGAAGAAACCAGUGCACAACUGCGCUCUGCUUGGCUGGAGAAUGUUUCCAUCGAUCCAGAGAUCAACAGACCACGAAGUCCCCGCGUGUGCUUUCAGCACUUUGCGAAGGACGACUAUGUGUCAAACAAGAACCGCCUUAUGGGCCUUAAUGCAAAGGCUGUACCUUCAGUAGGCAUUCCGAAACAAGCGUUCAGAACCGGGACAUCCAACUUUCUUGUAAACAAAUGGGGUGCAUAUGCUGAGCCUACGUCAAAUGCUGGCUCUAAGUCUAGGUCAGCAGCAUGCAACAGCUCAGCAGACUUGACUAUGCUGUCUGGUCCUGCCAACUCCGCCGCUGGUAUAGGGUCAGGUGCAGGAAUAGAACAUGGCUCAGCAUCAGAAACUCAGAUCAAACCCACUGUUAGCAUUGGAACAGGUGCAGCAAUAGGCAGUGGUAGUUUGAAUGAGGCAUUUGAGUCAGAAGCCACAGAUGGUGCCAGAAUAACCUCAAAGCAAGAUGGCCAGUCAAAAUCUGCAUUUGUCAGCAAGAUAGUUUCAACACCUAGCAAAAGUUCAACAACGAAGGUUCACUUAGUAUCCAUACAUAAGGCAAAAAGAGGCCCAGCAGCGGACACUUCAAAUGUAGCUAGGACUUCAGUAUUCGCAGGAGGUAACGAAACUGAUUCACUAGUGAGUGGUGCUGCUUUGUUGCAAAGUACAAAGCCAAGUACAGUUACACAGCCAAAAGCCACUCAUGGUGCCAAAACAGCUCCAACAAAAAACAGUGGCUCAGUACAUAAGGGCCAGUCGAAAUCUGCAGUUGAUAGCAGGAUGGUUUCAAUGAGAAGCAAGUCUACACUUGAGACCAAAGCAGGUCAAAUAUCAAUCAAGACUUUAAAAAAAGGUAUUGGUUCAGUACCUGCAGUUGCCUGUGAAACAAGUUCAACAGGGGAGACCAGUUCAGUUUCAUCAAGCCACUCUGAAUCUGCAGUCGCAGCAGGUUCAACAGACAGCAGUUCAAAUUCAGCACAUCAUUUGAAAUGUCAGGUUAGGCCAGAAACAGGUCCAAUCUCGGAGUGUGUGUCAAAGCCAGGGGACCACUCAAUAGCUGUUACCAGAACAGAAUCAGUCACAAGCAAGCCAGGUUCAAGAAGCGAUUUAGGGCCUGUAACUGUGAAUGUGCCAGCAUCAACACUAAACAUCUCAAAGCCAGCGACUACAACAGUGCCAAAUGGUAGCAUGGUUGUAACCUUGGAAAAUGAGCCCUGGACAUCGGAGCUCACUGGUGUGGAAGCAAGCAACCAAGAUUCAACAAGUCCUUCAGGACCCAUAAAUGCCACUGAGUCAGAGUCAAUACCAAACAACUCCAAGCCAGUGACUACAACAGUGCUAAAUGGUAGCACGUUCGUAACCUUCGAAAAGGAGCCCUGGGCAUCAGCACUCUCUGUUGUGGACAAGCCAUUGAUGGAAACACCAAGAGCUGAGUGUUCAUCCAACACAAGCAGCUUGUCAGCAGUGGAACGCAUCUCAAAGGUAGUAGUGAAGCAAGAACUUGUUGAAGAGACUGAGCUUUUCCCAAAAGACCUUUAUGGCAGUGUCGCUCUAGACGUGUCACCGAACAAUUGCAGAUUGCAUGUGGAACAAAAAGACAGUACAGUACACAGGAGCUCAGAUGUGUGCUUGUUGCCUCCAUCUGAUGUAUUGGUUCAUGCUUCUUUGUGUAUGCCUUUCUGCAUGCCUUUCACAGGCAGGUCUUGUAAUGCAGAAGCAGCCGGUGCCUAUCAAUCUUCUGCUUUAAGUGAUUCCAGUGGCACCACUAGUUCCACUGGUGCGCCAUCUGGGCAUUGCAGAAGCGGUAACCCUUCCUAUUCUGUAAUGAACUUGUGGGACAGCAGCCAGAGCUCAGCACUAUCACUUCAGCACACUGAAGUAUUGCCUGGAAAAGCCAUUGCAUCAACAAAUACUAAGAGCAGCUUGUCUCAAAAUGCCAAUGAACUGACUCUUGGACAUGCUGCUGCAUCACUUUCUUCAGUAUUACACAUGUCUAGCAGACAGAGGGGGAAUGUAGCCAAUUGUCAUGGUGCACAUGAUGAUGAAGCUGGUGCAUGUAGUCAAGCUGGCCACACUUCUGGUUCCAAAGCUGACUUUGCUUUUAGUGGCCAACAGAGCACCUCAAGGUAUAAUAUUGUUGACAUCACUCGGGAGUCUGGGACUGGGGUUAUUCAACCUGAGUUGCCUGCUCAACAAGUAGUUCCAUUCCAGGCACCAAGUCAAGGUGGAUACGUGCCGCAUUUGAAAAGUGACAGCGCGUGCAGCAGUAUUUCUAAUCCUUCCAAUGCAUGUAAUAAAUGGGAUGGCGGUCUUCAGAGUGAGGGAAGCAGUGAUGAGUGGAUGCCGUUUGAUCCUGCCCAUGGAAAGUAUGUCAUAGAAAAGGAGUGCUUAGGAGAGAGAGAUGAUUCUGGAUUGAGUGCUGUUUACUGUACAGUGGUGUGGGUCCCUACAUCUGGAGAUAAUGGCAAGAGCAGUGGUGGCCCUCAAAGUACCCGCUAACAAGAAGACUGACCAUAACUGAACUCCAGCAACAAGAAAGCUUUAGUCUGUGAUAUUUAAGUAACAUAUAAGAGUGCAGUAUGAUGCAUUUCUGAGGCUGUCACACUAAGGUAAUCAUGAUUUUAUUUUAUUAUAUUUAUUUAAAUAUGUUGUCCGCUCUCUCUCGUGCCAAAAUAUGUGUCUUGCAAUAAACAUUGUGUACGUCUGA